UACGGAGGAUCCAAGCGUUAUCCGGAUUUAUUGGGUUUAAAGGGUGCGUAGGUGGCCUAUUAAGUCAGGGGUGAAAGACGGUAGCUUAACUAUCGCAGUGCCUUUGAUACUGAUGGGCUUGAAUACAGUUGAAGUAGGCGGAAUGUGACAAGUAGCGGUGAAAUGCAUAGAUAUGUCACAGAACACCGAUUGCGAAGGCAGCUUACUAAAGUGUGAUUGACACUGAGGCACGAAAGCGUGGGGAUCAAACAGG
rnacentral:ncRNA from 4 species